ACGCGCGGAACCUUACCUAGGCUAGAAUGCGCGUGACCGCGCCAGAGAUGGCGCUUUCCUUCGGGACACAAAGCAAGGUGCUGCAUGGCCGUCGUCAGCUCGUGCCGUGAGGUGUUGGGUUAAGUCCCCGCAACGAGCGCAACCCCUAUGUUUAGUUGCCAGCGGGGGUCAUGCCGGGGACUCUAGACAGACUGCCUGCGCAAGCAGUGAGGAAGGCGGGGACGACGUCAGGUCAUCAUGGCCCUUACGC
rnacentral:rRNA from 1 species